rnacentral:rRNA from 1 species
GUGUCAGCAGCCGCGGUAAUACGUAUGGGGCUAGCGUUGUUCGGAUUCACUGGGCGUAAAGGGCGUGUAGGCGGUGAGGUAAGUCGGAUGUGAAAUCUCCGGGCUUAACCCGGAAAUUGCAUUCGAUACUGCCUCGCUAGAGUACCGGAGAGGGAGACGGAAUUCCUGGUGUAGGGGUGAAAUCUGUAGAUAUCAGGAGGAACACCGGUGGCGAAGGCGGUCUCCUGGCCGGAUACUGACGCUGAGGCGCGAAAGCUAGGGGAGCAAACAGGAUUAGAUACCCUGGUAGUCCUAGCUGUGAACGUUGUGCACUAGGUGUGAGUGGCUUGUCCACUCGUGCCGAAGCUAACGCAUUAAGUGCACCGCCUGGGGAGUAUGCUCGCAAGGGUGAAACUUAAAUGAAUUGGCGGGG